UACAGAGGUCUCAAGCGUUGUUCGGAUUCAUUGGGCGUAAAGGGUGCGUAGGCGGCGCGGUAAGUCGGGUGUGAAAUUUCGGAGCUUAACUCCGAAACUGCAUUCGAUACUGCCGUGCUUGAGGACUGGAGAGGAGACUGGAAUUUACGGUGUAGCGGUGAAAUGCGUAGAUAUCGUAAGGAAGACCAGUGGCGAAGGCGGGUCUCUGGGACGGUACUGACGCUGAGACGCGAAAGCGUGGGGAGCGAACAGG
rnacentral:rRNA from 1 species